rnacentral:rRNA from 1 species
CCUACGGGGGACAGCAGUGAGGAAUAUUGGUCAAUGGACGCAAGUCUGAACCAGCCAUGCCGCGUGCAGGAAGACGGCUCUAUGAGUUGUAAACUGCUUUUGUACGAGGGUAAACGCAGAUACGCGUAUCUGUCUGAAAGUAUCGUACGAAUAAGGAUCGGCUAACUCCGUGCCAGCAGCCGCGGUAAUACGGAGGAUUCAAGCGUUAUCCGGAUUUAUUGGGUUUAAAGGGUGCGUAGGCGGUCGGAUAAGUUAGAGGUGAAAUCCCGAGGCUCAACUUCGGAAUUGCCUCUGAUACUGUUCGGCUAGAGAGUAGUUGCGGUAGGCGGAAUGUAUGGUGUAGCGGUGAAAUGCUUAGAGAUCAUACAGAACACCGAUUGCGAAGGCAGCUUACCAAGCUACUUCUGACGUUGAGGCACGAAAGCGUGGGGAGCGAACAGGAUUAGAUACCCGAGUAGUC